rnacentral:rRNA from 1 species
UACGUAGGGGGCUAGCGUUGUCCGGAAUCAUUGGGCGUAAAGAGCGUGUAGGCGGCCCGGUAAGUCCGCUGUGAAAGUCGGGGGCUCAACCCUGGAAUGCCGGUGGAUACUGUCGGGCUCGAAUCCGGAAGAGGUGAGUGGAAUUCCUGGUGUAGCGGUGAAAUGCGCAGAUAUCAGGAGGAACACCAAUGGCGAAGGCAGCUCACUGGGACGGUAUUGACGCUGAGGAGCGAAAGCGUGGGGAGCGAACAGG